ACAUGCUUCAUGAUGGUCUGGAUCCAGUUC
rnacentral:piRNA from 1 species